AGACUAUCCCUGUCAAAGCUUAUAAUCAAUCCGGUGUAAAUUGAAGGGCUUUCUCUAGCCGAAGCUAUAGCCCUAAGCUGCUUGAUCUGGAGGCUCCGCCGGUGGCCUCAGGAUAUACGCCGGUAGCUCCCAAUCUCACGCCAGUUUCCUUGCAUAAGAUUUUAUUGACGGCGGUGGAGAGCACGAGCUUCUCACCGACAUUCUCUGAUCCCGUCUUGCCCAAUGGUGAGAGGCCCAAAGGACGAAAUCAUACCAUGAUGAGGGUGGGGCGUAGAAUCCAGCUAUGUAUUGAAGAUGGAUCCAGAUUGGUAUUGUGAAGGUGCAAGCAAAGAAGAGAUGAUCAUGGGUCUCGUUGACCAAGUUACAGAGGUGGCAAACCCUCGAUCCAUUAACAUUCCUCAUUCUGCUUCGAUCCAUGGUAGAGAGCCUGCCGUGCACAGCCAGCCAGAGUGUAAUUUUGCAUCUCAGGACAGAAAGUGGACUCCAUAUUUGGUGAUGCCAGUGCUUUGGGGGAUAAUGUUGAAGUAUCCCCAUACACCGAGGCUUCUCCCAUCGCUUUUUUUACUUUCAUAAGAUCAUCCCAAAGCUCACCCAUGUGGGCAUCCUCAACGGGUCCAUAUACACCCAUGAAGGACCAAAUGAACAUCCUUUGAGUUUGUAAUUUGUAAUAUGAUCUGAAACAAAUAGAACCUUCUCCAUUCAUCAGUUUUCUGAUCCACCCUAUUGUCCCACAAAGAAAGAGUACCCAUUGUUGACAACCUCUUCAACAUACCUCGAUCCUAGAUUUUCUCACCUCCAUAGAUGUCACAUCCAUCUUAAUCUCCUGAAGGCAAACAGCUUCUCUCGCUGUUCAUUUUGUAUUGAAUUAAUAAGCGCACCUUGCUUUUAGAAUUUGAAAUAUUAUUGCUUCAUGGUAGAAGCAGGUUUCUCUUGGACUUCCAUAAAUUUUAUAAGCAAACUGUUUGAAGAAGCCUGCUUGGAAGAAGGUUUGAUAUAAAAUGCAUAAUGGGAAACUAUUAGGAUGCUUUUUGGGGAAAUGUUCUGGAAGUAUAAGAGCCAUAGCCAGGCAUCCGGAACACCCAGUGAUAGCCUCAUGCGGACUGGAUAACUAUUUGCGACUUUGGGGUAUAAAGUCGAGACAACUUCUUUCUGCGGUUUUCUUGAAGCAGCAUCUCACAAAUGUUGUUUUUGAUUCAAAUUUUAGCAAUGAAGAGAGGUGGAUUUAGCAUCAGCAACUGUGAAAGAACUGCAUCCUUCCAUGAUGCCUUGAGAUAGUCCUAUCUAACAAAAUGAAAAUGGAGUCGCUUGCAAAACUUGGGAGUCAUCAACAAAGGUCUCCCCGAAGGAAAUUUUGUAUAUGAUAUUACCAUAAAUGAACAUUAAUUCAACUGAAUGUCAGCAAAGCCUUUUUCCAACUAUUAGUGGUCAACUACAUGAAACUACUGCUAUCAUAUAUUUCUUAACUAUCUUAAUCUUAGUUUUGGUUUUCACCUUCUUUUAGCAUUACCCUUAAUAAGGACCACGUCAUGUUUCCUGACUUGUGUGAGAUUAUUGGUUGUAGCUGCAUAUGACCAAAACUAUCAUACUCAGUUCUCUCACAUUUUGCUUGCCACCAUAAAAGAACAUUGAACCGCCUAUAUUCUAUUUGUGUUUAUGUUCUGUCCUUUUCCCUACAAUCGUAUUAUCCCAUUAUUCUGAAUACAUAUCUUCGAUAUUGCAUUGCAAAAAGGAAAAAUAGGGAAAUAGUUUUCCAAUAUUCUUCUGCAGGCCUUGUAAAGUUUCUCUCAAAAUCACAUGACCAGAUCCAUUUGGUGACCUGUUGGUUAACUAUAGCAAAGAAUUGCUAGGUUCUGGGGUUUUUUUGUCACAUUCGGAACCAAUCACAUUUGUUGGUUUUCAGUUGCAAUGCAAAGAGUUAAACUUCUGCUGCAUGUCCUAUCAUGAACUUUUCCGGAUCUUGUCUUUGGGUUAGGUUUGGAUUGGACUUAUCCACUUGCUUGGCUUGAUGGUCUGCUAGCUCCUCUUUCCCGCCUCUUCUUUGUUGUUCUUGCCCCCUUUUAUUUUUUAUUUUUUAUUUUUUAUUUAUGGUACUGAAUAUUUAGGAAUCCUGUAAACUUGAUCUUUUGUGGUGUUUAAUUCUGAUUGGUCCAAGUGUACUGUGUGUCAAUUCUGCUUAAACAGAAGUUUUUGGCGGUUUACCUCCCAUUGAAGCUCCAGAUGUAGAUGGAAUAUUAAUCGGCCGGGAAGAAUCUCUGCCUGUAAAAAGAAAAAAGGCAUCCAAAGAAAACAGCGGAAGCAAGAAGAGUAAAACCAAGAAAAAGAGCAAAAAGGCAAAAGGAAAGAGCAUUUACAUGUCCUUUAUAGAUAUACUGCAUACUUUAUUUUUUAUGGAUUUCAAUUCUGAUUGGUCUAAGCAUGUGAAUUUUGCUUAAACAAAAGUUUUUGGCGAUGUACCUCCCAUUGAAGCAGCGGAUGUAGAUGAAAUAUUAAUUAAUGGGGAAGAAUCACGUUCUGUAAAAAGAAAAAAAGCAUCCAAAAAGGUAAAACCAAGAAGAGCAGCAAAAAUAUAGAAAGGCAAGAGCAUUGAUGUGUCGUGAUCCGGACACUGUUUUUUCCAUUCCAUUGCCUAUUUGAUAAGGGGAUACUGGACGGGUCUAGACAUAUUAACCUUGGCAUUCACACACUCGAAAAGGCGGAAUGAACUGAGCAAAUGACAGUUGAAGUGUUCAUAUACGUGUUUCGCAUCCAAGUUAUUGAUGCAUGUGUAUGGAGAAACAACAGGUUGUAGAUUGGCAAGUUCGAGAGGUGGUUGAUUUUGUUAUUGUGAUCUCAAGGUUCUGCUUUUGUGCGUUGCUUGGCCUGUUAGCGAAGUUUUGUUUCAUAUUCCAAAAAUGGAAUACAAUCGUGUCAGUACUAUACCAACAAGAAUAGUCCACAAUUUUUGUACCAUAACUUUCUCAAAUGAUGAUUGUAGCAUUUUAAAUAUUUGAGCUUUGAGUAUUUGAACUCUUUGGGUUAAGAUUCAUUUAAGGCCAUUUUCAUGAUUAGUAAUCGCCAAAUCAUAGUUAUCUGGUAAACUCUUGGGCAUGUGUUUUUGCUUUUUAGCAUUUUCAGGAACUAAAUAUGACACACAUAUCUAGAGGUGUUAUUGUUAUGCAUGUUCUAAAUUCUUAUUGGGUUGGGCUUUGAUUUGUAAUGGUUUAUAGUUAAGAACUUCAUUAAUGAUGGUGGAUUUUUCUUUCCAUGGAGGUAGGCUGGGUGGAGCGAAACCAUGUUAAAUAUUGUGUUAUUGUUGUUUUGCGAUUGAAUU